rnacentral:lncRNA from 1 species
AACAGCACAAGGAGAUGACUGAAACUUAAGGAUGGGUCCAACCGCUUGGCUCUGUGCGAGUGCAAAUAAUGAAAGCCAAGUUGCAUAUUUUGGAAGGAAAUUCCCCUUUACUUGUGACACCCCUUCAGUAGGACCACUAAAGAAUUGCAAUGAUCGGAGGGUUUGAGAGGAGCUGGGCAUGUAUCAUCUUUCAGUCCGAAUCAAUCAAAAUACCAUGAACUGCAGAGUUCAUUUAUCCAGCAAUGCAGAACAAAUCACUUGCUCUUCAGUCAAGAGCAGCCGAUCUGGGACAACCAUCCUGCAGGAGACAAGAAGCUCUCCUACCUGUUUGGCUCAAGUCAAGAGAGAAAGCCAGGCUGGUGCUGGUGAGGCUGUGCAAGUUGAUUUCAGCGGUACAUCAUCACCCAUGUCCCCUGUCAUCUCCUUCUCCUGAGGAUAAUGGAGCAGCUGGCUCUGGGGGAUUUCCCAGCAUAGCCACCCAAUUUCUGCACACCCAGGGAAGCCAAAAUACCAAAACGGAGCAAGAUUAAACAAUUUCUCAUGUAAGUAUGGUGGGAAACUCAGAAAUAUUUGCUUUUCCAUUUAAUAGCAUGCAACUUUCCCUUUAGGACAUACAGAUACAGACUGACACAGAAGUUUUGUAUUGAUUCUUGUUUUGCUUACUCAGUUUUCUUGUCUGUUUUAAGACAAGAAAUGCCUGCUGUGAAACCUAGCUAGAAAGCAAAAGUGAACUAAGA